rnacentral:rRNA from 1 species
GACGAACGCUGGCGGCGUGCUUAACACAUGCAAGUCGAACGGAAAGGCCCUGCUUGCAGGGUACUCGAGUGGCGAACGGGUGAGUAACACGUGGGUGAUCUGCCCUGCACUUCGGGAUAAGCCUGGGAAACUGGGUCUAAUACCGGAUAGGAGCCAUUUUUAGUUUGAUGGUUGGAAAGUUUUUUCGGUGUAGGAUGAGCUCGCGGCCUAUCAGCUUGUUGGUGGGGUAAUGGCCUACCAAGGCGGCGACGGGUAGCCGGCCUGAGAGGGUGGACGGCCACAUUGGGACUGAGAUACGGCCCAGACUCCUACGGGAGGCAGCAGUGGGGAAGAGUGCACAAUGGGCGCAAGCCUGAUGCAGCGACGCCGCGUGGGGGAUGACGGCCUUCGGGUUGUAAACUCCUUUCGCUAGGGACGAAGCUUUUUGUGACGGUACCUAGAUAAGAAGCACCGGCUAACUACGUG